UGCAGUCGAGCGGGGAAGGUAGCUUGCUACCUAACUUAGCGGCGGACGGGUGAGUAAUGCUUAGGAAUCUGCCUAUUAGUGGGGGACAACAGUUGGAAACGGCUGCUAAUACCGCAUACGCCCUACGGGGGAAAGCAGGGGAUCUUCGGACCUUGCGCUAAUAGAUGAGCCUAAGUCAGAUUAGCUAGUUGGUGGGGUAAAGGCCUACCAAGGCGACGAUCUGUAGCGGGUCUGAGAGGAUGAUCCGCCACACUGGGACUGAGACACGGCCCAGACUCCUACGGGAGGCAGCAGUGGGGAAUAUUGGACAAUGGGGGGAACCCUGAUCCAGCCAUGCCGCGUGUGUGAAGAAGGCCUUUUGGUUGUAAAGCACUUUAAGCGAGGAGGAGGCUACUUAGAUUAAUACUCUAGGAUAGUGGACGUUACUCGCAGAAUAAGCACCGGCUAACUCUGUGCCAGCAGCCGCGGUAAUACAGAGGGUGCGAGCGUUAAUCGGAUUUACUGGGCGUAAAGCGUGCGUAGGUGGUCUUUUAAGUCGGAUGUGAAAUCCCUGAGCUUAACUUAGGAAUUGCAUUCGAUACUGGGAGACUAGAGUAUGGGAGAGGAUGGUAGAAUUCCAGGUGUAGCGGUGAAAUGCGUAGAGAUCUGGAGGAAUACCGAUGGCGAAGGCAGCCAUCU
rnacentral:rRNA from 1 species